AGCAUUUUAACAGUUACGUGUUGGUACUGUUAGUUGAUUUUAGUUAAUGUUUAUUUCAUAUGAAAUGUAUUAAUCUUCUCGCAGCGAGAUAAAUUUGUCACACAGAGUGAUAUGUGUUACAGCAGGUCGCAUUUACUAUAAAACGAUCAGAGUUUUAGUACCAUAUUGGAGACCUAAUAUCUGAAAGAAUUGUUUUCCCGGAUGUCAAAAAAUAUGCAGGUGUAGGUAUAAAAAGUAGCCCGUUUUAUGCGAGAUAAAUCGGACAGAACCAAGAGUUUAACUUGGAGAGAUUUUAAAACGAAUCAAUGAAAACAGUUUGAGAAAUUAUCCAACGAUUCAAGAUUUUCAAAAGAUUUGUCUGCAUUACCAUCUAUGGCGGAAGCGUCCGGUUCAAUAUGUCGUAUUUGACGUUCCGAUUGUCGACUUGAAAUUGAUAUUGGUCCAGUUUAGUGGUUAAAGAUUUAUUUUCAAUUAGUAAUAUCUUAAAGACUUUUCAUAUUGGCAUCUUAUUCUGAACUGUUUCAUUUCCUUUGUUUCGAUGUUACUGCGAGCAACUAAUACUACAUCUGUGUUUGUCUUGUUUAUAGCCUAUUGAAUUUAGAUAUAAAAUACUUUAAAUUCGGACGAGCAGGUCGAGGGAGAAUUUGAAUGUAUUUUAUUUCGUUUGAAAUAGGGUUGUCCCGUUUGCUAUUUCAGUUAUUAUUUAUAUAUGGGAACUAGUAUAACUGGUUUUGUAACAGUAUGUACUAUUUAUAAAUUUGAUGUUAGGUGCAGGAGGCACGAGGAAAGUUUUGGCGGUUUUUAUGGGUGGGGUUUAAUGGUACUAUAUAAAGUUUGGCAUUUAAAUGUAUUAGUAUCGAAGGUUCUCGCAGUUACGUCGAAUUGAAGUUGGUCACAUAGGUAUAUGUGCAGUUGCUGCUAUGUUUAUUGUACGUACAUCCGUUGGAAGUAUUAGCCGAGGAAAAAGA